rnacentral:misc_RNA from 1 species
AAGUCGUAACAAGGUUUCCGUAGGUGAACCUGCGGAAGGAUCAUUACAAAUCCACGUGUGUGUGUGUAUGAUCAUGUUGAACCCGUUGUGAGAGUCUUUAUGGAAAGCGGGGAGGUCACUCUCAGAGGGGUCACCCCUCUUUCCAUAAAGACGUUACGCUCACUGAAAUACUCUAGUUAAUGAUCGAUCUGUUGUACCUUUUGGAGGCUUGAGACCUCGAAUAGAAACACAACUUGUAACAAUGGAUCUCUAGGCUCUU